rnacentral:rRNA from 1 species
UACGAAGGGUGCAAACGUUGCUCGGAAUUAUUGGGCGUAAAGCGCACGUAGGCGGCUUAGUAAGUCGGAAGUGAAAGCCCUUGGCUCAACCAAGGAAGUGCUUUCGAAACUGCUGAGCUUGAGUAGUUAAGAGGAUCGCGGAAUUCCCGGUGUAGAGGUGAAAUUCGUAGAUAUCGAGAGGAACACCGGUGGCGAAGGCGGCCUUCUGGACAGUGACUGACGCUGAGACGCGAAAGCGUGGGGAGCAAACAGG